AAAAUCCGUCGACUUUAGAAAUCGUGAGGGUUCAAGUCCCUCUAUCCCCCCAAAAAGACCGAUUUGACUAUUUCUCCUACCCUCUCUUUUUUUUAGUGGUUCAAAAUCCGUUCUCUUUCUCAUUCAUUCUACCUUUUUACAAACGUAUCAGAGCAUAAUUUUUUUUUUAUCACAAUCCCAAUCCCAAGUGGUGUGGUAUAUAUGAUAUACGUACAAAUGAACAUCUUUGAACAAAGAAUCCCGAUUCACAAUUCAUAUCAUUGCUCAUACUGAAACUUAUAAAUUAUUCUAUUCAAGAAAUCGAAUUCCACGCUCAAGACUUUUAAUACUUUUUUAUCUUUUUUAAUUGACAUAGACCCCAGUCAUCUAGUAAAAUGAGGAUGAUGCGCCGGUAAUGGUCGGGAUAGCUCAGCUGGUAGAGCAGAGGACUGAAAAUCCUCGUGUC
rnacentral:tRNA from 1 species